GUAUUGAUGAAGAGUCAGAAACUAGGACGAAACAGCUGUCCAGUAC
rfam:Trichobilharzia regenti genome assembly, scaffold: TRE_contig0026378